UUAUGGCCAUAUCAUAUUGAAAUACCAGUUCUCAUUCAAUCACCAAAGUUAAGCAAUGCGAAGCCUGGUCAGUACAUAGAUUGGUAACCACUCAGGAAUACCAGGUGCU